rnacentral:rRNA from 1 species
CCCUUAGAUUUCCUGGGCCGCACGCGCGUUACACUGAUACAUUCAACGAGCUUAUAACCUUGGCCGAGAGGCCUGGGCAAUCUUGUUAACGUGCAUCGUGAUAGGGAUAGAUUAUUGAAAUUAUUAAUCUUGAACGAGGAAUUCCUAGUAAACGCAGAUCAUCAAUCUGCAUUGAUUACGUCCCUGCCCUUUGUACACACCGCCCGUCGCACCUACCGAUUGGAUGGUCCGGUGAAGCCUCGGGAUUGUGGUUCUUGCCGCUUUAUUGUGGCGUGACCGCGAGAACUUGUCUAAACCUUAUCAUCUAGAGGAAGGUGAAGUCGUAACA